rnacentral:rRNA from 1 species
AUACGGAGGAUCCGAGCGUUAUCCGGAUUUAUUGGGUUUAAAGGGUGCGCAGGCGGCCAUUUAAGUCAGCGGUUAAAUCGUGGAGCUCAACCCCAUUCUGCCGUUGAUACUGGGUGGCUUGAUUGCGGUCGAGGUUGGCGGAAUUCGUUGUGUAGCGGUGAAAUGCAUAGAUAUGACGAAGAACACCGAUUGCGUAGGCAGCUGACCAGACCGCAAAUGACGCUCAUGCACGAAAGUGCGGGGAUCGAACAGGAUUAGAUACCCUGGUAGUCCGCACAGUAAACGAUGAACACUUGUUUUCGGCGAUAUAAUGUCGGAGGCAAAGCGAAAGCGAUAAGUAUUCCACCUGGGGAGUACGCCGGCAACGGUGAAACUCAAAUGAAUUGACGGGG